CCUACGGGCGGCAGCAGUGAGGAAUAUUGGACAAUGGACGCAAGUCUGAAGCAGCCAUGCCGCGUGCAGGAAUACGGCUCUAUGAGUUGUAAACUGCUGUUGUACGAGGGUAAACUCAGAUACGCGUAUCUGUCUGAGAGUAUCGUACGAAUAAGGAUCGGCUAACUCCGUUCCAGCAGCCGAGGUAAUACGGAGGAGUCAAGCGUUAUCCGGAUUUAUUGGGUUUAAAGGGUGCGUAGGCGGUCGGAUAAGUUAGAGGUGAAAUCCCGGGGCUCAACUUCGGAAUUGCCUGUGAUACUGUUAGGCUAGAGAGUAGUUGCGGUAGGCGGAAUGUAUGGUGUAGCGGUGAAAUGCUUAGAGAUCAUACAGAACACCGAUUGCGAAGGCAGCUUACCAAGCUACGUCUGACGUUGAGGCACGAAAGCGUGGGGAGCAAAAAGGAUUAGAUACCCCGGUAGUC
rnacentral:rRNA from 1 species